rnacentral:rRNA from 1 species
GACGAACCGUGCGAACGUUAUUCGGAAUCACUGGGCUUAAAGGGCGCGUAGGCGGUUGUCUAAGUCUGCUGUGAAAUCUCCCGGCUCAACUGGGAGGGGGCGGCGGAGACUGGGCGACUGGAGGGACCUAGAGGCCGGUGGAAUUCCCGGUGUAGUGGUGAAAUGCGUAGAGAUCGGGAGGAACACCUGUGGCGAAGGCGGCCGGCUGGGGGUACCCUGACGCUGAGGCGCGAGCAGCGUGGGGAGCGAACCGG